rnacentral:tRNA from 1 species
GGCACUUUGGCGGAGUGGUUAACGCGAUGCCCUGCUAUUAAUCUGAUAGAUAAGGCAUUCCCUUCGGGGGCGUGUGUUCGAAUCACACAGGUGUCG